rnacentral:rRNA from 1 species
GAGUUUGAUCAUGGCUCAGAUUGAACGCUGGCGGCAUGCCUAACACAUGCAAGUCGAACGGCAGCACAGAGGAGCUUGCUCCUUGGGUGGCGAGUGGCGGACGGGUGAGUAAGGCAUCGGGAUCUACCCUGACGUGGGGGAUAACCUCGGGAAACCGGGACUAAUACCGCAUACGUCCUACGGGAGAAAGCGGGGGACCUUUUAGGCCUCGCGCGGCAGGACGAACCGAUGUGCGAUUAGCUAGUUGGCGGGGUAAUGGCCCACCAAGGCGACGAUCGCUAGCUGGUCUGAGAGGACGAUCAGCCACACUGGGACUGAGACACGGCCCAGACUCCUACGGGAGGCAGCAGUGGGGAAUAUUGGACAAUGGGGGCAACCCUGAUCCAGCCAUGCCGCGUGAGUGAUGAAGGCCUUCGGUUGUAAGCUC